GUGGGGAAUAUUGGACAAUGUGCGCAAGCCUGAUCCAGCCAUGCCGCGUGAGUGAUGAAGGUCUUAGGAUUGUAAAGCUCUUUCACCGAUGAAGAUAAUGACGGUAGUCGGAGAAGAAGCCCCGGCUAACUUCGUGCCAGCAGCCGCGGUAAUACGAAGGGGGCUAGCGUUGUUCGGAAUUACUGGGCGUAAAGCGCAUGUAGGCGGAUAUUUAAGUCAGGGGUGAAAUCCCGCGGCUCAACUGCGGAACUGCCUUUGAUACUGGGGAUCUUGAGUAUGGAAGAGGUGGGUGGAAUUCCGAGUGUAGAGGUGAAAUUCGUAGAUAUUCGGAGGAACACCAGUGGCGAAGGCGGCUCACUGGUCCAUUACUGACGCUGAGGUGCGAAAGCGUGGGGAGCAAACAGGAUUAGAAACCCGAGUAGUCC
rnacentral:rRNA from 1 species